rnacentral:rRNA from 1 species
GCUCAGAUUGAACGCUGGCGGCAGGCCUAACACAUGCAAGUCGAGCGGCAGCGGGAAAGUAGCUUGCUACUUUUGCCGGCGAGCGGCGGACGGGUGAGUAAUGCCUGGGAAAUUGCCCAGUCGAGGGGGAUAACAGUUGGAAACGACUGCUAAUACCGCAUACGCCCUACGGGGGAAAGCAGGGGACCUUCGGGCCUUGCGCGAUUGGAUAUGCCCAGGUGGGAUUAGCUUGUUGGUGAGGUAAUGGCUCACCAAGGCGACGAUCCCUAGCUGGUCUGAGAGGAUGAUAAGCCACACUGGAACUGAGACACGGUCCAGACUCCUACGGGAGGCAGCAGUGGGGAAUAUUGCACAAUGGGGGAAACCCUGAUGCAGCCAUGCCGCGUGUGUGAAGAAGGCCUUCGGGUUGUAAAGCACUUUCAGCGAGGAGGAAAGGUUGGUAGCUAAUAACUGCCAACUGUGACGUUACUCGCAGAAGAAGCACCGGCUAACUCCGUGCCAGCAGCCGCGGUAAUACGGAGGGUGCAAGCGUUAAUCGGAAUUACUGGGCGUAAAGCGCACGCAGGCGGUUGGAUAAGUUAGAUGUGAAAGCCCCGGGCUCAACCUGGGAAUUGCAUUUAAAACUGUCCAGCUAGAGUCUUGUAG